GCAGUAGCCGCGGUAAUACGAAGGGGGCUAGCGUUGUUCGGAAUUACUGGGCGUAAAGCGCACGUAGGCGGAUAUUUAAGUCAGGGGUGAAAUCCCGCAGCUCAACUCUGGAACUGCCUUUGAUACUGGGUAUCUUGAGUAUGGAAGAGGUGAGUGGAAUUCCGAGUGUAGAGGUGAAAUUCGUAGAUAUUCGGAGGAACACCAGUGGCGAAGGCGGCUCACUGGUCCAUUACUGACGCUGAGGUGCGAAAGCGUGGGGAGCAAACAGGAUUAGAUACCCCCGUAGUCCUGUCUCUUAUACA
rnacentral:rRNA from 1 species